rnacentral:rRNA from 1 species
UUAGGAAUCGUACACAAUGGACGAAAGUCUGAUGUCGUGACGCCGCGUGGAGGAAGAAGGGUUUCGGCCUGUAAACUCCUUUUCUAUGGGAAGAUUAUGACGGUACCAUAGGAAUAAGCAUCGGCUAAUUACGUGCCAGAAGCCUCGGUAAUACGUAGGAUGCGAGCGUUAUCCGGAAUUAUUGGGCGUAAAGAGCGCGUAGGCGGUCUUGUAAGUCUGACUUUAAAGCCCGAGGCCCAACCUCGGAGAUGGGUCGGAUACUGCUAGACUUGAACACUUGCAGGGGUAUGCGGAAUCUACGGUGUAGGAGUAAAAUCCAUUGAUAUCGUAGAGAACACCAAUGGCGAAGGCAGCAUACUAGGCAGUCGUUGACGCUGAGGCGCGAAAGCGUGGGGAGCGAACGGG